AUUGAACGCUGGCGGCAGGCCUAACACAUGCAAGUCGAGCGAUCGGCGGACGGGUGAGUAAUGUCUGGGAAACUGCCCGAUGGAGGGGGAUAACUACUGGAAACGGUAGCUCAUACCGCAUACCAUCAGAUUUGCCCAGAUGGGAUUAGCUAGUAGGUGGGGUAAUGGCUCACCUAGGCGACGAUCCCUAGCUGGUCUGAGAGGAUGACCAGCCACACUGGAACUGAGACACGGUCCAGACUCCUACGGGAGGCAGCAGUGGGGAAUAUUGCACAAUGGGCGCAAGCCUGAUGCAGCCAUGCCGCGUGUGUGAAGAAGGCCUUCGGGUUGUAAAGUACUUUCAGCGAGGAGGCGUUACUCGCAGAAGAAGCACCGGCUAACUCCGUGCCAGCAGCCGCGGUAAUUC
rnacentral:rRNA from 1 species